rnacentral:lncRNA from 1 species
CUCGCUGUCAAUCCGCCCUGACAAGCCCCCACAGGCUACCCAUGCCUUGUAUAGACAAACACACACACACACACACACACACACACACACACACACACACGUGCCGUGCAGGCUGGUAGACAUGCCCCACUCCACCCCCCCCUCCACCCCUCGCUGUCAAUUCGCCCUGACAAGCCCCCACAGGCUACCCAUGCCUUGUACAGACACACGAACGUGCCGCGCAGGCUGGCAGAAGUGCCCCACUCCAACCCUUUCUCCCCUCCUCGCUGCUAAUUCGCCCUCACAGGCCCCCACAGGCUACCCAUGCCUUGUACAGAUACACGAACGUGCCGCGCAGACUGGCAGACAUGCCCCCCUCCAUCCCCCCUCCCCCCCUCGCUGUCAAUUCGCCCUGACAAGCCCCCACAGGCUACCCAUGCCUUGUACAGACACACGAACGUGCCGCGCAGACUGGUAGACAUGCCCCACUCCAUCCCCCCUCCCCCCCUCGCUGUCAAUCCGCCCUGACAAGCCCCCACAGGCUACCCAUGCCUUGUACAGACACACGAACGUGCCGUGCAGGCUGAUAGACAUGCCCCCCUCCAUCCCCCCUCCCCCCCUCGCUGUCAAUCCGCCCUGACAAGCCCCCACAGGCUACCCAUGCUUUGUACAGACACACGAACGUGCCGCGCAGGCUGAUAGACAUGCCCCCCUCCAACCCUUUCUCCCCUCCUCGCUGCUAAUUCGCCCUCACAGGCCCCCACAGGCUACCCAUGCCCUGUACAGACACACGAACGUGCCGCGCAGACUGGUAGACAUGCCCCCCUCCAUCCCGCCUCCCCCCCUCGCUGUCAAUCCGCCCUGACAAGCCCCCACAGGCUACCCAUGCCUUGUACAGACACGUGAACGUGCCACGCAGGCUGGUAGACAUGCCCCACUCCAACCCUUUCUCCCCUCCUCGCUGCUAAUUCGCCCUCACAGGCCCCCACAGGCUACCCAUGCCUUGUACAGACACACGAUAGAACCGUGUAGACUGGUAGACAUGCCCCCCUCCAUCCCCCCUCCCCCCCUCGCUGUCAAUCCGCCCUGACAAGCCCCCACAGGCUACCCAUGCCUUGUACAGACACACGAACGUACCGCGCAGGCUGAUAGACAUGCCCCCCUCCAACCCUUUCUCCCCUCGUCACUGCUAAUUCGCCCUCACAGGCCCCCACAGGCUACCCAUGCCUUGUACAGACACACGAAAGAACCGUGUAGACUGGUAGCCAUGCCCGCCUCCAUCCACCCUCCCCCCCUCGCUGUCAAUCCGCCCUGACAAGCCCCCACAGGCUACCCAUGCCUUGUACAGAUACACGAACAUACCCUGCAGGCUGGUAGACAUGCCCCCCACCACCCAUUUCUCCCCUCCUCGCUGCCAAUUCACCCUCACAGGCCCCCACAGGCUACCCAUGCCUUGUACAGACACACGAAAGAACCGUGUAGACUGGUAGACAUGCCCCCCUCCAUCCCCCCUCCCCCCCUCGCUGUCAAUCCGCCCUGUCAAGCCCCCACAGGCUACCCAUGCCUUGUAUAGACAAACACACACACACACACACACACACACACACACAAACACACACACACACACGUGCCGUGCAGGCUGGUAGACAUGCCCCACUCCACCCCCCCCCCCUCCCCCCCUCGCUGUCAAUUCGCCCUGACAAGCCCCCACAGGCUACCCAUGCCUUGUACAGACACACGAACGUGCCGCGCAGGCUGGCAGAAGUGCCCCACUCCAACCCUUUCUCCCCUCCUCGCUGCUAAUUCGCCCUCACAGGCCCCCACAGGCUACCCAUGCCUUGUACAGACACACGAACGUGCCGUGCAGGCUGAUAGACAUGCCCCCUCCAUCCCCCCCCCCUCGCUGUCAAUCCGCCCUGACAAGCCCCCACAGGCUACCCAUGCUUUGUACAGACACACGAACGUGCCGCGCAGGCUGAUAGACAUGCCCCCCUCCAACCCUUUCUCCCCUCCCAAUGUCGGAUCGGAGCUCUCUUGAACGCAACGUAUGCACAUACACACGACAAUGAUACUGAUACACUGCACUUCAUGCCGGUGCCGCUGCAC